CCUACGGGGGGCAGCAGUAGGGAAUCUUCCACAAUGGGCGAAAGCCUGAUGGAGCAACGCCGCGUGGGUGAAGAAGGUCUUCGGAUCGUAAAACUCUGUUGUUAGAGAAGAAAGUGCGUGAGAGUAACUGUUCACGUUUCGACGGUAUCUAACCAGAAAGCCACGGCUAACUACGUGCCAGCAGCCGCGGUAAUACGUAGGUGGCAAGCGUUAUCCGGAUUUAUUGGGCGUAAAGGGAACGCAGGCGGUCUUUUAAGUCUGAUGUGAAAGCCUUCGGCUUAACCGGAGAAGUGCAUUGGAAACUGGGAGGCUAGAGAGCAGAAGAGGAGAGUGGAACUCCAUGUGUAGCGGUGAAAUGCGUAGAUAUAUGGAAGAACACCAGUGGCGAAGGCGGCUCUCUGGUCUGUAACUGACGCUGAGGUUCGAAAGCGUGGGUAGCAAACAGGAUUAGAUACCCUAGUAGUC
rnacentral:rRNA from 1 species